rnacentral:miRNA from 1 species
CUUCGACAGGUAAAGUGAUAAUAAACUAUUCUGAAUAGUUUAUUAUCACUUUACCUGUC